rnacentral:rRNA from 1 species
GCUAUACAUGCAAGUCGAGCGAAUGGAUUAAGAGCUUGCUCUUAUGAAGUUAGCGGCGGACGGGUGAGUAACACGUGGGUAACCUGCCCAUAAGACUGGGAUAACUCCGGGAAACCGGGGCUAAUACCGGAUAACAUUUUGAACCGCAUGGUUCGAAAUUGAAAGGCGGCUUCGGCUGUCACUUAUGGAUGGACCCGCGUCGCAUUAGCUAGUUGGUGAGGUAACGGCUCACCAAGGCAACGAUGCGUAGCCGACCUGAGAGGGUGAUCGGCCACACUGGGACUGAGACACGGCCCAGACUCCUACGGGAGGCAGCAGUAGGGAAUCUUCCGCAAUGGACGAAAGUCUGACGGAGCAACGCCGCGUGAGUGAUGAAGGCUUUCGGGUCGUAAAACUCUGUUGUUAGGGAAGAACAAGUGCUAGUUGAAUAAGCUGGCACCUUGACGGUACCUAACCAGAAAGCCACGGCUAACUACGUGCCAGCAGCCGCGGUAAUACGUAGGUGGCAAGCGUUAUCCGGAAUUAUUGGGCGUAAAGCGCGCGCAGGUGGUUUCUUAAGUCUGAUGUGAAAGCCCACGGCUCAACCGUGGAGGGUCAUUGGAAACUGGGAGACUUGAGUGCAGAAGAGGAAAGUGGAAUUCCAUGUGUAGCGGUGAAAUGCGUAGAGAUAUGGAGGAACACCAGUGGCGAAGGCGACUUUCUGGUCUGUAACUGACACUGAGGCGCGAAAGCGUGGGGAGCAAACAGGAUUAGAUAC